AUAACAUGGAUACCCUGGGAAAUCACUCUCCCUAGGCUCUGUCUAAAUGGCCUAGGGGAGCAUUAGGGCUCAAUCCCAGAUUGUGCGGUCCUUCGCCACAAGUUAGAGAUGAAGCUGGGCCUGGUGUCUGUGCCUGCAUUUUUCUACAGCUUUUGAGCCCUGUGGACAAUAACAGAGGGGACAAAUCAUGCAGGAAAUGUGC
rnacentral:snoRNA from 1 species